rnacentral:rRNA from 1 species
UGAGGAUAUUUGGUCAAUGGGCGAGAUCCUAAACCAGCCAUGCGCGCGUGCAGAGAAGACGGUCCUAUGGAUUGUAAACUUCUUUUAUACAGGAAGAAACACUCCCUCGUGAGGGAACUUGACGGUACUGUAGGAAUAAGCAUCGUCUAUCUCCGUGCCAGCAGCCGCUGUUAUAGGGAGGAUGCGAGUUUUCUCCGUACUCAGUGUGUAUAAAGGGUGUGUGGGCGGUUUAAUAUGUCAGGGGAGAUCUCUGGUCGCUCAUCGAUCAAACGCCCAUAGAUUCUGUUUAACGUGUAUUAGUGUGAAGUAAAUAGUAUAUGUUGUGUAGCGGUGAAAUGCUUAUAUGUUACAUCACAUCCCAAGUGCGAGGGCAGGUUACUAACAAUACAUUCACGGUGAUAGAAGAGAGCGGGGGUAGCGCACAGGUUUAGAUCCCUUGUUCGUCCACCCUGUAAUCGAUGUAUACUAGCUGUUUGGAGCACUGUGAGUGUCUGAGCGAAAGCGAUAAGUUCUCCACCCUGG